rnacentral:rRNA from 1 species
AAAGUCCUCGCUUUGAAACUAGAUAACAACUUUCAGCAGUGGAUGUCUAGGCUCGCACAUCGAUGAAGAACGCUGCGAACUGCGAUACGUAAUGCGAAUUGCAGGAUUCAGUGAGUCAUCGAACUUUUGAACGCAUAUUGCACUUUCGGGUUACGCCUGGAAGUAUGUCUGUAUCAGUGUCCGUACACUAAACUUGCGUCUCUUCCGUCGUGUAGUCGUCGGUUGUUUGAUUGCAGAUGUGAGGUUGUCUCGCGAUCCGUUGCUUGUCGACAGGGUUGCGAGUCCCUUUAAAGUCGGACGCGUGUUUUUCCGUUUUGUGCUUGAUGGGGUGCGGCUGCGGCCGUGUCUGCUGGCGGGUCCGGUGACCUUUGGCGAUGGCAUGAGAGUGGAUUGCUCGAUUUGCGGUAUGUUAGACUUCGGCUUUGACAAU